CACUGUUUGGACUAGGGGCCCUUCUCGGGUUACCGAAUUCAGAUAAACUCCGAAUGCCAUGUACUUAUACUCGGGAGUCAGACUGCGAGUGAUAAGAUCCGUAGUCGAAAGGGAAACAGCCCAGACCACCAGUUAAGGUCCCCAAAUAUAUGUUAAGUGGAAAAGGAUGUGGGGUUGCUUAGACAACCAGGAUGUUGGCUUAGAAGCAGCCACCAUUGAAAGAGUGCGUAAUAGCUCACUGGUCGAGUGACCCCGCGCCGAAAAUGUACCGGGGCUAAACAUAUUACCGAAACUGUGGAUGAACCUCUUUAGAGGUUCGUGGUAGGAGAGCGUUCUAAGGGCGGUGAAGUCAGACCGGAAGGACUGGUGGAGCGCUUAGAAGUGAGAAUGCCGGUAUGAGUAGCGAAAGAAGGGUGAGAAUCCCUUCCACCGAAUAUCUAAGGUUUCCUGAGGAAGGCUCGUCCGCUC
rnacentral:rRNA from 1 species